GGGCUGGGCAGGACCAGCUCCUCCAACUCCCAACUACCUUAGGCAGCACUUUGGAUCCCAGGUAAGCCCCCCUUCUGAACCUGUUGGUCAGUGUGUCUGUGUGUAUCUAUGUCUGUCAGUGUGUGUGUGUAUGUCUGUCAGUGUGUCUGUGUGUAUCUAUGUCUGUCAGUGUGUGUGUGUGUAUGUCUGUCAGUGUGUCUGUGUGUAUCUAUGUCUGUCAGUGUGUGUGUGUGUAUAUGUCUGUCAGUGUGUGUGUGUAUCUAUGUCUGUCAGUGUGUGUGUGUGUGUAUGUCUGUCAGUGUGUGUGUGUGUAUGUCUGUCAGUGUGUCUGUGUGUAUCUAUGUCUGUCAGUGUGUGUGUGUGUAUGUCUGUCAGUGUGUCUGUGUGUAUCUAUGUCUGUCAGUGUGUCUGUGUGUAUCUAUGUCUGUCAGUGUGUGUGUGUGUAUAUGUCUGUCAGUGUGUGUGUGUGUGUAUCUAUGUCUGUCAGUGUGUGUGUGUGUGUAUCUAUGUCUGUCAGUGUGUGUGUGUGUAUGUCUGUCAGUGUGUGUGUGUAUCUAUCUCUGUCAGUGUGUGUGUGUGUGUAUCUAUGUCUGUCAGUGUGUGUGUGUG